CUUUAUGCCUUCCCUUACAAAGAGUAUGCUGGUGCAAAUAUAGGCUCAAAUCAUGGCUGGAGUGAUUCAGGUGAGUUUCUAUUUUGAGUCUGCAAUAAGAGGUAGUUUAAGCUUUAUAUUCUUCUGGAAUUAUGGUUUUCAGCUGAGUAAUAUUCUUAGAACUCUUUAUAAUAUGUAUGCUUGGUGUACUUGAGGGCAUCUGCCGACUUUUGCUGGUGGAUAGACAUGGUUCUGCUCCUUUAUGGCAAACAUGUUCUAUUGGAAACUGUAAUACAUGCUUAGCUUGGCCUAUCUGCAUGAGUGAAAUGAUGCAUGUCUAUUUGCUGACUUCUUGAGUUGUGUGUGGGUUUUAUUCCUGUUUGUUGUUUGCUUGGGGUUGGAUCCGAUGUUGACGGAUCAGAGAUCGAACGACGAUUCGCGGAAGCGGCGGGAUGGAGAUGAGCAUUGCGCCAAGGGAAGGAGGAGCUUCCACCAGCAGCAGCAAUGGCGGCAGCUGCAACAACAAUAACAACGUCUCGAAUGAACGAAGGAAUGAAGGUGAUAGUAAACGGAUGAAGGCAGUGGGUGAACUUAAAGUGGAAGGGGAAGGGAAUUCUAGCAAGGGGGCGGCCGCGGUGGAGAGACGCUCGAAGCUAGACGAACUGCCGAAGCAAGACUACAUCCAUGUUCGAGCAAGACGAGGUCAAGCUACCGAUAGUCAUAGUUUAGCAGAAAGAGCUAGGAGAGAAAAGAUUAGUGAGAGGAUGAAAAUUCUUCAGGAUUUGGUUCUUGGUUGUAAUAAGGUGAGUUGUCGACUUUGUUUGGACAUUUUUGUCGCCUCUUGAGGAGAAUAUAGUAAGUUAUUUUGUACGAGAGUUGUUAUUCAUAUAUACUGUAUAUGUACACAUUUCUGAGCUUUGAUGAGAUCAGUAACGGGCUUCGUCUCUGCUGGGAUAUAUGAUUGAACGUGACGGGGGUGAAUCCUUGACAUUAGCCACAUGAGAGUCUGCGUUAGGCCCGUAGAUGUUUUAUAUGUCGAACAACUAAGCCAUUAUUUUCUCUCAUAUGCAGCUUCAUGUUUGUUCACCUUCAUUUAACAUGUAAAAAGAUGAUAGGCUGCUCUCAUUUCUUUUCCAUUUCUAUCUAUAUACAUUUCUCUAUUUUGUCUCCUAUAUAUGGAAUGAUUACAAUUCAUAAAAUGUUUAUAGGUCCGAGCUGCUAUCAAGGUCAAGGCAUCAGUCAUCAUCUGUUUCACUUCUUCCAGGAAGAGCUGCUAGGUCUCUAUCAUCUUAUAGAUUUUUGUUUUAGCUAUAAGGUAGUUGGUAUUUUCAAUUUUGAAUCGGAAUAUGCAAUGAUGAUGUAUACUUGAUAUUUGGUUCAUUUGUAUAAUAAUGUAUGAAUUUUUUGGAUGAUAUAUAAUAUUGUUGUCGUUGAUUUUAUCA